rnacentral:rRNA from 1 species
UACGUAGGGCGCAAGCGUUGUCCGGAAUUAUUGGGCGUAAAGAGCUCGUAGGUGGCUGGUCGCGUCUGCCGUGAAAGACCCCGGCUCAACUGGGGAGGGUCGUGCGAUACGGGCGAACUUGAGGCCAGUAGGGGGACGCGGAAUUCCGGGUGUAGUGGUGGAAUGCGUAGAGAUGUGGAGGAAUACCGAUGGCGAAGGCAGCCCCCUGGGAUAACACUGACGCUCAUGCACGAAAGCGUGGGGAGCAAACAGG